AGCAGUUUUGCUUUUAUUAUGUCUUUGGAAACUUGAAAUUAAAAUAGAAUAGGAUCUUAAAAUGGUCUUUGAAGACGAACUGAACUGUCAGCGAAUUCCGGCAAAAUUAAUUAUUUCAGCUUGAUAAACCUUUUCAUCUACUUGACUCCUUUUGCAGAAAAGCCAAUUAAUAAUGUCAAACAUGCUUUGGCUGCGGCGAGCGGCGAGCCUAAUAAGACUGUUUACUGUGGUGUGGCUCAU